rnacentral:rRNA from 1 species
UCGAACGAGUUCUGAUUAUUGAAAGGUGCUUGCAUCUUGAUUUAAUUUUGAACGAGUGGCGGACGGGUGAGUAACACGUGGGUAACCUGCCCUUAAGUGGGGGAUAACAUUUGGAAACAGAUGCUAAUACCGCAUAAAUCCAAGAACCGCAUGGUUCUUGGCUAUAAAGAUGGCGUAAGAUAUCGCUUUUUGGAUGGACCCGCGGCGUAUUAGCUAGUUUGGUGAGGUAUCGGCUCACCAGGGCAUAAAUACGUACGCCGAACCGAAGAGUUGAACCGGCCACAUCGGGACUCAAACAGGCCCCAACCUCCUACGGAAGGCAGCAGUUGGGCAAUCUUCCACAAUGGACGCAAGUCUGAUGGUACCAACGCCGCGUGAGUUAAGGAAGGUUUUCGGGUCGUAAAACUCUGUUGUUCGCAGAAGAAUGGUCGGCAGAGUAACUGUUGUCGGCGUGACGGUAUCCAACCAGAAAGCCACGGCUAACUACGUGCCAGCUGCCGCGGUAAUACGUAGGUGGCAAGCGUUAUCCGGAUUUAUUGCGCGUAAAGCGAGCGCAGGCGGUUUUUUUAAGUCUGAUGUGAAGCCCCUCGGCUUAACCCGAGGAAGUGCAUCGGAAACUGGGAAACUUGAGUGCAGAAGAGGACAGUGGAACUCCAUGUGUAGCGGUGAAAUGCGUAGAUAUAUGGAAGAACACCAGUCGCGAAGCCGGCUGUCUGGUCUGUAACUGACGCUGAGGCUCGAAAGCAUGGGUAGCGAACAGGAUUAGAUACCCUGGUAGUCCAUGCCCGUAAACGAUGAAUGCUACGUGUUGGAGGGGUUUCCGCCCUUUCAGUGCCGCAGCUAACGCAUUUAGGCAUUCCGCCUGGGGAGUACGACCGCUAGGUUGAAACUCAAAGGAAUUGAACGGGGGCCCCCCACAAGCGUUGCAGCAUGUAGUUUAAAUUCUUAGCAACCCGGAAGAACCUUUACCAGGUCUUGGACAUCUUUUUGAUCCCCCUUA